rnacentral:rRNA from 1 species
UACGUAGGGUGCAAGCGUUGUCCGGAAUUAUUGGGCGUAAAGAGCUUGUAGGUGGUUUGUCGCGUCUGCUGUGAAAUUUCGGGGCUCAACCCCGAACUUGCAGUGGGUACGGGCAGACUAGAGUGUGGUAGGGGAGACUUGAAUUCCUGGUGUAGCGGUGAAAUGCGCAGAUAUCAGGAGGAACACCGAUGGCGAAGGCAGGUCUCUGGGCCACUACUGACGCUGAGAAGCGAAAGCAUGGGGAGCGAACAGG